GUUUGAUCCUGGCUCAGGAUUAACGCUGGCGGCGUGCCUAAUACAUGCAAGUCGAACGGAAACCUUCGGGUUUUAGUGGCGAACGGGUGAGUAACACGUAAGCAACCUACCCUAAAGACGAGGAUAACCAUUGGAAACAGUGGCUAAGACUGGAUAGGAAGAUAAAAGGCAUCUUGUAUCUUUUAAAAGACCUAGUUAAUAGGUAUGCUUUAGGAGGGGCUUGCGCCAUAUUAGUUAGUUGGUAGGGUAAUGGCCUACCAAGACGAUGAUGUGUAGCUGGACUGAGAGGUUGAACAGCCACAUUGGGACUGAGACACGGCCCAAACUCCUACGGGAGGCAGCAGUAGGGAAUUUUCGGCAAUGGAGGAAACUCUGACCGAGCAACGCCGCGUGAAUGACGAAGUACUUCGGUAUGUAAAGUUCUUUUAUCGAGGAAGAAAAGCAAAUGGCGAACCAUUUGUUUGCCGGUACUUGAUGAAUAAGCCCCGGCUAAUUAUGUGCCAGCAGCCGCGGUAAGACAUAAGGGGCAAGUGUUAUCCGGAAUUAUUGGGCGUAAAGGGUGCGUAGGCGGUCUAGUAAGUCAGUGGUGUAAUGGCAACGCUUAACGUUGUCCGGCUAUUGAAACUGCUAAACUUGAGUUAGAUAGAGGCGAGUGGAAUUCCAUGUGUAGCGGUAAAAUGCGUAAAUAUAUGGAGGAACACCAGAGGCGUAGGCGGCUCGCUGGGUCUUAACUGACGCUGAGGCACGAAAGCGUGGGGAGCAAACAGGAUUAGAUACCCUGGUAGUCCACGCCGUAAACGAUGAGUACUAAGUGUCGGGUUAAACCGGUACUGAAGUUAACACAUUAAGUACUCCGCCUGAGUAGUACGUACGCAAGUAUGAAACUUAAAGGAAUUGACGGGACUCCGCACAAGCGGUGGAUCAUGUUGUUUAAUUCGAAGAUACCCGAAAAACCUUACCAGGUCUUGACAUGUUUUUGCAAAAUGAUAGUAAUAUCGUGGAGGUUACCAGAAACACAGGUGGUGCAUGGUUGUCGUCAGCUCGUGUCGUGAGAUGUUAGGUUAAGUCCUAAAACGAGCGAAACCCUUAUCGUUAGUUGCCAGCACGUUAUGGUGGGGACUUUAACGAGACUGCCAAUGAUAAAUUGGAGGAAGGUGAGGAUCACGUCAAAUCAGCAUGCCCCUUAUGACCUGGGCUACAAACGUGAUACAAUGGCUGUUACAAAGGGUAGCUGAAACGCAAGUUCUUGGCCAAUCCCCAAAAACAGUCCCAGUCCGGAUUGAAGUCUGCAACUCGACUUCAUGAAGUUGGAAUCGCUAGUAAUCGCGAAUCAGCAUGUCGCGGUGAAUACGUUCUCGGGGUUUGUACACACCGCCCGUCAAACCACGAAAGUUGGCAAUACCCCAAAACGGUAGCCUAACUCGUUUAUUCGAGAGGGCGCCGUCUAAGGUAGGGUCGAUGAUUGGGGUUAAGUCGUAACAAGGUAUCCCUACCGGAAGGUGGGGAUGGAUCACCUCCUUUCU
rnacentral:rRNA from 1 species